rnacentral:rRNA from 1 species
UGGGCGGGACGGGUGAGUAAUGUCUGGGAAACUGCCUGAUGGGAGGGGGUAACUACUGGAAACGGUAGCUAAUACCGCAUAACGUCGCAAGACCAAAGAGGGGGACCGUUCGGGCCUCUUGCCAUCGGAUGUGCCCAGAUGGGAUUAGCUAGUAGGUGGGGUAACGGCUCACCUAGGCGACGAUCCCUAGCUGGUCUGAGAGGAUGACCAGCCACACUGGAACUGAGACACGGUCCAG